CCCCAUCAGUCUGGAGCGAGCUCCGUCCAGCUGUCUGUUCGACAUGUACCUGGGAAAUGACCCGUCCGAACGUGGCCGUCAAUACGGUGACAGCACCGGCUUCCACCAGCGCAUCACCCCUGUGGGGAUCAAGGAUGACCUGCCGUUGCCAUGGAGCCAGCUUGGUCUCGUCGUAGCCCAAGUACCGGAGCCUCUGCAGCGUUGCCUUUUCCUCGCGCUCCUUCUUCGCCCUCUGUCGCUCCUCUUCUUUCCUGUGCGCCAAUCAGAGAAAGCUUCUUCUUCAGGAUGUCCCGCCUCCAACCUGGCAUGCUGGCCAAUCGCGUCUGCUCAUCUUCAUCCUGCCAAUCAGGGAGAUGUCAGACACUCUUCACGGAAAGUCGCCGGUGUGGAAACGUAACUGAUGUUCACACACGACACUGACAGAUAACUAGGACUUAGCCUUUGUGUACCAUACAUACAUCAAACUGGAAACAAUUCAUAAAACUAUUAAAAGACACACUUCUUCCUUUGAUACAGAGAGCAAGCCAUUCAUUCAGGCACCUCAGACAUCUUGCAUUCUGAACAAAUGCUCAGGACAUUCAUCUACCUGGUCAUUCCAUUGUACCUUACAGAGCUAACUAUAACGAGAGGAGUUUCCAAUACUAAUUAAAAAUGUUUAACGAAUGUGAACAUGUAACAAAAACAAGGGCAGUGUCAGUUCCUGCCACAUCCUUUCAUGUGCAAAUUUGUGUCUAAGGUGAACAUGUCAGAGUGAGUCUACACACCCGUACAUAAUGGAAAAUGGAUGCAAGGCAUGAAAAUGUGCCUACAGCUGAUUCAGCCUAAUGUGGCCAUUUUAACUGGGCUUCACACCACCUAAAGUAGGGAUGUCUAACUCCAGUCCUGGGGGGCCGGAGCCCUGCACAUUUUUGGGUUUCCCCUCAUUUAACACACCCGAUUCAACUCCUUGUGCUAAUUAUCACACAGCUCUUGAGCUGAAUCAUUCAUGGUGGAACAGGGAUAGAACUAAGCUACACAGGACUCCGGCCCCCCAGGCCUGGAGUUUGACACCCCUGACCUAGAGUAAACACAACCCCUCACUCAAGAUCCAGAUCAUAAGCAUAUGCUCCAAGUACAAGGCCAGUAAAACCACAUGGACUGAUAAGUCAUUCAGGUGCACUGAUGCCAGUAUCCAGAACUGUGAAUUUCUUCACCAAAGGGAGCAAAUUAUAAAGAUGUACUGAAAAAAGUUGACAAUGUCAUCAAACUCACCUUGCAUACUAAGCAGGACAUUCUU